ensembl:lncRNA
GCCGGAUUGGGCAGAUAGACAUUCAGCUGAGUGGUUCGGUGCAGAUAACAAUGAAUGCAAAUACACAGCGAGAGUGACAGAUUAACCUUGGGCAAGGUUGAGCAUAGCGGUGCUGGAAACACAGUGUAUCCUGUUGGAUGCCUGCAGUGAGAAUACACACACACACACACACACACACACAGAGAGAGAGAGAGAGAGAGAGAGAGAGAGAGAGAGGGAAUCAUAUGCUCUAUUUUUAAAAAUUCAUUUGAAACCACAAAUUGUGUUUCAGUCGAAAAGAUGGACACUCAGACAUUUGCAUUAGGCUUGCCAUGACCUCUGACCCAGAGCAACACUUUACAAGUUGCUUUGCUUUGGUUUUUAGACGGGCAUGCGAUCUGAACUCCACGCACUGUCUGCCAGAAAAUGUCUGAGAAUCCCCAAUCUCCCAGAUAAACUUGAUCACCUAGAAGAACUUUGGAAAGAGAUACACAAUAUAGAAAUAAUAUGUGCUGGCUAUUAUUAUAAUAGAAUGUGAGCCAGUGUCCCUCGGGUGAUAGAUCCUCGGGUGAUAGAUCCUCGGGUGGUAGAUCCUCGGGUGGUAGAUCCUCGGGUGGUAGAUCCUCGGGUGGUAGAUCCUGGGGUGGUAGAUCCUUGGGUGGUAGAUCCUCGGGUGGUAGAUCCUCGGGUGGUAGAUCCUCGGGUGAUAGAUCCUCGGGUGGUAGAUCCUCGGGUGGUAGAUCCUCGGGAGGUAGAUCCUCGGGUGGUAGAUCCUCGGGUGAUAGAUCCUCGGGUGAUAGAUCCUCGGGUGGUAGAUCCUCGGGUGGUAGAUCCGUGGGUGGUAGAUCCUCAGGAGGUAGAUCCUUGGGUGGUUGAUCCUCGGGUGAUAGAUACCGGCCAGGACGGCAGUUUCGAUUUCCCCGGUGGUCCUGUACAAAACAAUGCAAUAAACAGGUGGGCAGGUUCUGGAUGAGAGCGUCUGCAGAGGGGUGUGUCUCUUAUGCCUCCAUCCAAUCACUAACGCCUCUGCCUCGUGACCCACUGCCCCCACAUACUUAGCAAUGCACAUUAGUAUGUUUAGAUGUGAAACGUACUGCUAGAAGUAACAUUUGUUCCAACGCUGGGCUGUUUUUCUAUAAGGCACUAAUGGCCUU